UACGGGGGGGGCAAGCGUUGUUCGGAAUUACUGGGCGUAAAGGGCUCGUAGGUGGCCAACUAAGUCAGACGUGAAAUCCCUCGGCUUAACCGGGGAACUGCGUCUGAUACUGGAUGGCUUGAGUUUGGGAGAGGGAUGCGAAAUUCCAGGUGUAGCGGUGAAAUGCGUAGAUAUCUGGAGGAACACCGGUGGCGAAGGCGGCAUCCUGGACCAACACUGACACUGAGGAGCGAAAGCCAGGGGAGCAAACGGG
rnacentral:rRNA from 1 species